GACCAUUCUAAACCUUCCAAACUGUACUGACCCGAACCGAUCCACUCACUGGAAACGAGGCAUUAGCGACUUGGUGUUUUAUGCCUCAUUUACAGUAUUUUGCUUCAAGUCCCAAUGAUAAGUUAUUGAAUCAAGAGGCAGUGUACAUGUGUGGCUAUGUUUGCUAGUAUGUAGUUACCAAUCUUUGUGAAAAUAUAUAUUAAAAAAAAAAGCACUAAAUUUCAAUACGAC